UCUAAAUACAAUACACCCCCCAUAGUAAAUAGAUGCUAAAUCCCUCAGUCAAUCUUCAGUCUCUCUCUCGAGAACUUCUCUUCAGCCACUCUCUCUCUUCUCUCGCCCUCUCAUUCUUAUCUUCGUCAAUCCUUUCAAUUUUCUCAUCGCCAUAGAAAAUUCGAGAUCCCCAAGGACUAGAUCGAUCAAGCUCACGAGGCUAAGGUCUCGGUUGGGUCAUGAAGACCAAAUCGAUGGCCAGGGAUCUGAGCGGGAUAGUGAAGGAGAUUCUCUUGGUCGAAGGCAAGGAUCUGUAGGAUUUUCAUCGUAGAUUAUCCAAGAGAUUACCGACGGCGAUGUUGAGGUGCUGUACCAAUCUUUAUAUUCGUCAGUGAUACAUCUUCUGCACCUUGGUAUCUCAAUGUCGAAAGACCUCUUGAAACAUCAAAGGAAAUGGAAAUCAGAUCCAGAUUGCUGUUGAAACUGAUGAUGGUUGGAAAA
rnacentral:lncRNA from 1 species